AGUAAUAAUUCACAAUCACAUUUAUAUACCACCGUUGGUCUAAGCCGUGCCUAAUCGUGCAGUGCUCCUGCAAGCCCAUCGUGUCGGGUGGUGACCCAAACACAUCACUAGACCCGAAUCGUGACGACACUGGCAUUAUAUGAAUAGUGUUUGUACCGUGCCGAAGCACUACGGAUCAUGUCAUGCUUAAUGCCCGUACCAAGAACUACAAGUAGACGCCAACUUGACAUCUUUUGUCUGCAGCACCCAUCCGCUGGACCUGCAGUCCAUACACCGAUUUCCUCUGUUUUCAUAUAACACAUCCAUGUAACAACACAAUUGAAAACUUGAGCUUUAUGUUAUAAAAGGCCUAGUUAAAAUAACAUAAAUAUAAUCCAUAUAUGUACUACUUAACUAUUUGUAAACCAAAAUAACCUAAAAUUCUCGCAAAACUAUCUAACUUAACUCAUUUCACCCUUCGUGCGUAAUAGUAUUUUCUAUCUAACUACACAACAACCUAGUUCUAACUCUAUACUAGCAUACAAUUCAAGUAAAAUAUAAAUUCAUGAAGUAAUUGCACAAAUAUAGAUGCUCAAAAUAAAAAACGGUUUACAUACAUGUUGAUGUUUCUGAAGGCAUUGGGCGACUCUCCACUAGUUCUCAUUAGAGCAUGUGAACAAGGUAUAACUCCACCUUAAUCUAUGUAAUAAUCAAGUGCUCCAUACGGACAGAUUUUUCACCACUAUGGCAUGGUUGAUCGCACACAAGGCUUGGCCCUCUCACAAGUGCCCCAAAUAGAUCAACAAGCUCCUAAUCACCCGCUAAGGUUUCCACAUCAGUAUUGGUGACCCUCUGGCUGAGGUACCUGAGCCAAGACUAUCAUCCGUGUUAACGUGAGCUGCCACCAAACCACUGUCGGUGCCCAUCUUUCAGGUAAGGUUGCUAAGUACUAAGUAAAGCUAUUUACCAAAGACAGAGCCAUGAUAGCACUCAUGGUUGUACUUUUUUUCCUAGGUGGUCAGUCCAUGUUCCGUUUAAUACAAAAUGAUCUUGUUUAAUCGUCGGAUAUUGUC
rnacentral:lncRNA from 1 species